rnacentral:misc_RNA from 1 species
AAAGUCGUAACAAGGUUUCCGUAGGUGAACCUGCGGAAGGAUCAUUAAAAAGUGUGCCCCGGCUUACGCUGAGGACUACACCACUGUCCCCCCUCGUGGGGGUUAUUGUGUCCACCCAUUGUGAAACUUCAAUUUUUGCUUCGGCAGCGCUCUUCUUCGGUUGGCAACCAUCGGGAGAGAGGUAAGGCUGUCAGAGGCCCAUAUCAAAACCAGUUGAUGAAAUGUCAUGCUGUCUGAUAUAUAUUAUUUGAGAAAUCAAAUUACGUUAAAACUUUCAGCAACGGAUCUCUUGGUUCUC